UACGGGGGGAGCAAGCGUUGUUCGGAUUUACUGGGCGUAAAGGGCGCGUAGGCGGCCAGCGCAAGUCAGUUGUGAAAUCUCCGGGCUUAACUCGGAACGGUCAACUGAUACUGCGCGACUAGAGUGCGGAAGGGGCAACUGGAAUUCUCGGUGUAGCGGUGAAAUGCGUAGAUAUCGAGAGGAACACCUGCGGCGAAGGCGGGUUGCUGGGCCGACACUGACGCUGAUGCGCGAAAGCCAGGGGAGCGAACGGG
rnacentral:rRNA from 1 species